rnacentral:rRNA from 1 species
GAUGAACGCUGGCGGCGUGCCUAAUACAUGCAAGUCGAGCGAACGGACGAGAAGCUUGCGUCUCUGAUGUUAGCGGCGGACGGGUGAGUAACACGUGGAUAACCUACCUAUAAGACUGGGAUAACUUCGGGAAACCGGAGCUAAUACCGGAUGAUAUUUUGAACCGCAGGGUGCAAAAGUGAAAGACGGUGUUGCGGUCACUUAUAGAUGGAUCCGCGCUGCAUUAGCUAGUUGUUAAGGUAACGGCUUACCAAGGCAACGAUGCAUAGCCGACCUGAGAGGGUGAUCGGCCACACUGGAACUUAGCCACGGUCCUGACUCCUACGGGAGGCAGCAGUAGGGAAUCUUCCGCAAUGGGCGAAAGCCUGACGGAGCAACGCCGCGUGAGUGAUGAAGGUCCUCGGAUCGUAAAACUCUGUUAUUAGGGAAGAACAUAUGUGUAAGUAACUGUGCCCAUCUUGACGGUACCUAAUCAGAAAGCCACGGCUAACUACGUG